rnacentral:rRNA from 1 species
CCUACGGGUGGCAGCAGUGGGGAAUAUUGGGCAAUGGGCGCAAGCCUGACCCAGCAACGCCGCGUGAAGGAAGAAGGCUUUCGGGUUGUAAACUUCUUUUCUGAGGGACGAAGAAAGUGACGGUACCUCAGGAAUAAGCCACGGCUAACUACGUGCCAGCAGCCGCGGUAAUACGUAGGUGGCAAGCGUUAUCCGGAUUUAUUGGGUGUAAAGGGCGUGUAGGCGGGAAAGCAAGUCAGAUGUGAAAACUCAGGGCUCAACCCUGAGCCUGCAUUUGAAACUGUUUUUCUUGAGUGCUGGAGAGGGAAUCGGAAUUGCGUGGGGAGCGGGGAAAGGCGUAGAUAUACGGAGGAACACCAGUGGCGAAGGCGGAUUGCUGGACAGUAACUGACGCUGAGGCGCGAAAGCGUGGGGAGCAAACAGGAUUAGAUACCCUAGUAGUC